rnacentral:lncRNA from 1 species
UCAUUUCACUAAACAUUAUGUACCUUUAAUGUAGAGUUGAAUGUGGUGACACUGAAUGUACUAUUAAACUGUGAUUAAUGAUAAACUUGGUAAAAUUUGACUAAACUUAAACUACUUGAUUAUUUUACAGCGUUUUAUGGAUGUUCUGGGGUCAUAGGACUACACUGUACUUUUCAUUCUUCAUUCAUUAGUUUAUUUCUUUAUGAACAGAUGAUAUGUGGCUAUUUUUAUCCCUGACUCAUAUUUAUUUUUAUUAAAGAAAAUCCCUAACUUUUCCCACAUCUAACCUCUAGUCUGUGACGAUCUUUGGAUAGUUUGACAUCCUACGUAAGGCUGGACCGAAAGACUUUGGAUCUUCAUUUGUCCUCAAACAAGUUUCUGGGGGUUUUUGUAUGAAUGAAUGAUGCAACAAGUUUUUCACACCUCCUUUUUGCAGUGCAUCCAUCAUACACCCUCCCAACUGUCCGUCAAGACGCUCCGCUGUCAUCUCCAACUGCUUUUGUGGAGCUCUAAUGCCAACGGACCUGAGGUGUGAGUCACACAGCACAGUUUCUGAGGUUCUGCUGUAACGUCCUGGAGGUGUGUGUGUGCGCUGCGUCUGCGCUGCUUCUAUGACAGCGAGUGGCGGGCCUGUCAUUCCUGGC